rnacentral:rRNA from 1 species
CAGCCUGAUGCGCCAUGCCGCGUGUGUGAAGAAGGCCUUCGGGUUGUAAAGCACUUUCAGUCGUGAGGAAGGUAGUGUAGUUAAUAGCUGCAUUACUUGACGUUAGCGACAGAAGAAGCACCGGCUAACUCCGUGCCAGCAGCCGCGGUAAUACGGAGGGUGCGAGCGUUAAUCGGAAUUACUGGGCGUAAAGCGCAUGCAGGUGGUUUGUUAAGUCAGAUGUGAAAGCCCGGGGCUCAACCUCGGAAUAGCAUUUGAAACUGGCAGACUAGAGUACUGUAGAGGGGGGUAGAAUUUCAGGUGUAGCGGUGAAAUGCGUAGAGAUCUGAAGGAAUACCGGUGGCGAAGGCGGCCCCCUGGACAGAUACUGACACUCAGAUGCGAAAGCGUGGGGAGCAAACAGGAUUAGAUACCCUGGUAGUCCACGCCGUAAACGAUGUCUACUUGGAGGUUGUGGCCUUGAGCCGUGGCUUUCGGAGCUAACGCGUUAAGUAGACCGCCUGGGGAGUACGGUCGCAAGAUUAAAACUCAAAUGAAUUGACGGGGGCCCGCACAAGCGGUGGAGCAUGUGGUUUAAUUCGAUGCAACGCGAAGAACCUUACCUACUCUUGACAUCCAGAGAACUUUCCAGAGAUGGAUUGGUGCCUUCGGGAACUCUGAGACAGGUGCUGCAUGGCUGUCGUCAGCUCGUGUUGUGAAAUGUUGGGUUAAGUCCCGCAACGAGCGCAACCCUUAUCCUUGUUUGCCAGCGAGUAAUGUCGGGAACUCCAGGGAGACUGCCGGUGAUAAACCGGAGGAAGGUGGGGACGACGUCAAGUCAUCAUGGCCCUUACGAGUAGGGCUACACACGUGCUACAAUGGCGCAUACAGAGGGCAGCAAGCUAGCGAUAGUGAGCGAAUCCCAAAAAGUGCGUCGUAGUCCGGAUUGGAGUCUGCAACUCGACUCCAUGAAGUCGGAAUCGCUAGUAAUCGUGGAUCAGAAUGCCACGGUGAAUACGUUCCCGGGCCUUGUACACACCGCCCGUCACACCAUGGGAGUGGGCUGCAAAAGAAGUAGGUAGUUUAACCUUCGGGAGGACGCUUACCACUUUGUGGUUCAUGACUGGGGUGAAUC